GACGAACGCUGGCGGCGUGCUUAACACAUGCAAGUCGAACGGAAAGGCCCUGCUUUUGUGGCGUGCUCGAGUGGCGAACGGGUGAGUAACACGUGAGUAACCUGCCCUUGACUUUGUGAUAACUUCAGGAAACUGGGGCUAAUACCGGAUAGGAGCUCCUGCUGCAUGUUGGGGGUUGGAAAGUUUCGGCGGUUGUGGAUGGACUCGCGGCUUAUCAGCUUGUUGGUGGGGUAGUGGCUUACCAGGGCUUUGACGGGUAGCCGGCCUGAGAGGGUGACCGGCGACAUGGGGACUGAGAGACGGCCCAGACUCGUACGGGAGGCAGCAGUGGGGAAUAUUGCACAAUGGGGGGAAGCGUGAUGCAGCAACGCCGCGUGCGGGAUGACGGCCUUCGGGUUGUAAACCGCUUUCGACUGUGACGAAGCGUGAGUGACGGUAAUGGGUAAAGAAGCACCGGCUAACUACGUG
rnacentral:rRNA from 1 species